UUCAACCAAUAACACCUUUAGAGAGAGAGUGUGAGAAAUGCAUCGAGACACAUCCAACGCCAGAUUAGAAUCAACUUGUUGACGUAGCAUGCAGUAGGACGAAGGUAGUAGCACGCAAGUUGAAUAAAUUUAUUAACCUGUAAAGACUUUUUCAUUUCCUCUCAUUUCCACUUCUUUUUUUUUAAUUUUCAUAUUUGAAAUGAGAGGAAAUGAGAAUGAAAC
rnacentral:lncRNA from 1 species